AAUAAGUACAACCAUGAGUUUCCGCGUCUAAUUUUGAUCGUCCGUCUUAUUUGAAAUUUUUUUAUAAUUAGCAUUUUUGUUGCUAUGAGAUGAUAAAACAUGAAUAGUACUUUACUCGUGACUUAUGUUUUUAAUUUUUUUUAAAAAAAUUUUAAAUAAGACGAACGGUUAAAAUUAGACGCGGAAAACCAUGGCUACAUUUAUU
rfam:Oryza meridionalis cultivar OR44 (W2112) chromosome 8, whole genome shotgun sequence.